CACCCUACCGAACGGUUGGGUUCCAAGUUCGUCGCUUUUUAUUGUCGUCGGAUAAGCGCGAGAGAGGUGAUCUCUAAACGCGCCUCGAUCUCGGAAAACGCGCGACAGAUACAUACAUACAUAGAUAUAUAUCGAUAUCCCUCUAUCUACAUCUCUCUUUUUCUCUUUCUCUUUCUCUCUUCCUGCUCUCUCCUUUCUUUUUCUUUCUCUUCUCUCUCUCUCUCUUUCUCUUUCCAUCUUUCCUAAUUUCUCUAUAUCAAUCGUUCGGGGGAGAAAAAAGAAAAGCGAAAUGGAAAUAUUCAAGACUUAAUUAAGACGUAUCGACUGCGGAGAGAGAGGAAGAAGACAGUGUUACCUUUCUCUCUCUCUCUCUCUCUUCCUUUCUCUCCUUUCUUUCUCUCUUUCUCUUUCUUUCUUUCUCUCUUUCUCUCUUUUUCUUUCUUUCUUUCUUUCUCUGUCUCUCUUUCUCUAUCUAUCUAUCUAUCUAUCUAUCUCGCUCUCCGUUCUCUCGUACUUCGUGUGGACGCGUACCGCAACCGGUCAGCGCGUGUGCACCCGACAACGAUCGAUCCUCUCCGCGAUAGAGAUCCAGAGAGAGAAGCGAUGGACGGAACCACCCUUCCACGAGACGACGACGCCAGAUAAGGAGCAGGAACAUCGAGGAUAAACCUCCUCUUCUCUCCUCUCUCUCUUUUUCUCUCUCUGUUUCUAUCUCCGUCUCCGUCUCCGUCUCCGUGUCUGUAUCCAUCUCCGUCUCCGUUCCGUCUCCGUCUCCGUUCCGUCUCCGUCUCCGUCUCUGUCGCACUCUCGGCCGCUCGCUUGUUCGCUCUCUAGCUAGCCUUUAUCUCUACGUCGACACUUUUUUCAACGAUAUUCGGCCAAUUUCUUCGCACGAAAGAGGAAGAGGAAGGAGUACGAACGAGAAGGAGAAUAGAUUUCGAUUUGGAUCUUGCUAGAUCAAAGAGAAAUUCUUCUUUGAGAUUAAUAAAACAAGAAUAAAAACCAGAAGAAGAAGAAGAAGAAAAACAAGCAGAAGCAGAAGAUAAGAAGAAGAAGAAAAAGAAGAAGAAGAAG